CUAAUUCAUGAUCUGGCAU
rnacentral:miRNA from 1 species